rnacentral:rRNA from 1 species
GGAAUAUUGGUCAAUGGGCGCUAGCCUGAACCAGCCAAGUAGCGUGAAGGAUGACUGCCCUAUGGGUUGUAAACUGCUUUAGACAGGGAAGAAACAAGACAGUACCUGUAGAAUAAGCUCCGGCUAACUACGUGCCAGCAGCCGCGGUAAUACGUAGGGAGCAAGCGUUAUCCGGAUUUAUUGGGUGUAAAGGGUGCGUAGACGGGAAGGCAAGUUGGUUGUGAAAUCCCUCGGCUUAACUGAGGAACUGCAACCAAAACUAUCUUUCUUGAGUGCUGGAGAGGAAAGUGGAAUUCCUAGUGUAGCGGUGAAAUGCGUAGAUAUUAGGAGGAACACCAGUGGCGAAGGCGACUUUCUGGACAGUAACUGACGUUGAGGCACGAAAGUGUGGGGAGCAAACAG